ACCAGUAUGGCCGAGUGGAUAAGGCAUUGGACUUAAGAUCCAGUGGAUAUAUAUAUCCGCGUGGGUUCGAACCCCACUUCUGGUA